rnacentral:rRNA from 1 species
AGUGGCGGACGGGUGAGUAACGCGUGAGAAUCUGGCUCUAGGUCUGGGACAACCACUGGAAACGGUGGCUAAUACCGGAUGUGCCGAAAGGUGAAAGGUUAACUGCCUGGAGAUGAGCUCGCGUCUGAUUAGCUAGUAGGUGUGGUAAAGGCGCACCUAGGCGACGAUCAGUAGCUGGUCUGAGAGGACGAUCAGCCACACUGGGACUGAGACACGGCCCAGACUCCUACGGGAGGCAGCAGUGGGGAAUUUUCCGCAAUGGGCGAAAGCCUGACGGAGCAAUACCGCGUGAGGGAGGAAGGCUCUUGGGUCGUAAACCUCUUUUCUCAGGGAAGAACACAAUGACGGUACCUGAGGAAUAAGCAUCGGCUAACUCCGUGCCAGCAGCCGCGGUAAUACGGAGGAUGCAAGCGUUAUCCGGAAUGAUUGGGCGUAAAGCGUCCGCAGGUGGCUGUGUAAGUCUGCUGUUAAAGAGUCUAGCUCAACUAGAUAAGAGCAGUGGAAACUACACGGCUAGAGUACGUUCGGGGCAGAGGGAAUUCCUGGUGUAGCGGUGAAAUGCGUAGAGAUCAGGAAGAACACCAGUGGCGAAGGCGCUCUGCUAGGCUGUAACUGACACUGAGGGACGAAAGCUAGGGGAGCGAAUGGGAUUAGAUACCCCAGUAGUCCUAGCCGUAAACGAUGGAUACUAGGCGUGGCUUGUAUCGACCCGAGCCGUGCCGUAGCUAACGCGUUAAGUAUCCCGCCUGGGGAGUACGCCGGCAACGGUGAAACUCAAAGGAAUUGACGGGGGCCCGCACAAGCGGUGGAGUAUGUGGUUUAAUUCGAUGCAACGCGAAGAACCUUACCAAGGCUUGACAUGUCGCGAAUCUUAAUGAAA